rnacentral:ncRNA from 1 species
AGUAUAUAUUUAAGUUGUUGCGGUUAAAAAGCUCGUAGUUGGAUUUUGGGCGCAGGCGGCCGGUCCGUCGCAAGGCGUGUACUGGACGUCCUGGCCUUCCCUCCGGUUCUCCGCCGGUGCUCUUGACUGAGUGUCGGCGGCGGCCGGAACGUUUACUUUGAAAAAAUUAGAGUGUUCAAAGCAGGCUCUCGAGCCUGGAUAAUGGUGCAUGGAAUAAUGGAAUAGGACCUCGGUUCUAUUUUGUUGGUUUUCGGAGCGCGAGGUAAUGAUUAAGAGGGACAGACGGGGGCAUUCGUACUGUGCCGUUAGAGGUGAAAUUCUUGGAUCGGCGCAAGACGAACGACUGCGAAAGCAUUUGCCAAGAAUGUUUUCUUUAAUCAAGAGCGAAAGUCAGAGGUUCGAAGACGAUCAGAUACCGUCCUAGUUCUGACUAUAAACGAUGCCAACUAGCGAUCGGGGGGCGUUACAUUGACGACCCCUCCGGCAGCUUACGGGAAACCAAAGUCUUUGGGUUCCGGGGGAAGUAUGGUUGCAAAGCUGAAACUUAAAGGAAUUGACGGAAGGGCACCACCAGGAGUGGAGCCUGCGGCUUAAUUUGACUCAACACGGGAAAUCUCACCCGGCCCGGACACAGUGAGGAUUGACAGAUUGAGAGCUCUUUCUUGGUUCUGUGGGUGGUGGUGCAUGGCCGUUCUUAGUUGGUGGAGCGAUUUGUCUGGUUAAUUCCGAUAACGAACGAGACUCUGGCUUGCUAAAUAGUUACGCGACCAUCCCCGGUCGGCGUUUAACUUCUUAGAGGGACAAGUGGCGUUUAGCCACACGAGAUUGAGCAAUAACAGGUCUGUGAUGCCCCUUAGAUGUUCGGGGCCGCACGCGCGCUACACUGACCGGGAUCAGCGUGUGCUCUCCUUGGCCGACAGGUCCGGGAAACCCGUUGAACCCCGGUCGUGCUAUGGGGAUAGGGAAUUGCAAUUAUUUCCCC